CAAUUUGUAUGAUACGAAGUUUUCUAUUAAUUUGGAGUCUGAUUAUAGAGAGAAAAGGCAUGAACCAAUGGGAAUUGAGUUUUUUAACCGAGGGAGAUAAUUUCUUGGAAAAUGGUGAAAAAUGCAGUUUGGCUUUGAACUGGGAGAGUUUCACACAUUUAAUGUGGACUAUGUGUCAAACAUGGUAGAUAUGUGUUGGAAACCAAAGGAGAAAGACCUUAAAAACUUGAAACAUAAAUAUACAUGUUUCAAAUUUUAUUUUAUUUUUUUGAAAACCUCACUAAUUUUUGACAUGAUCCAUGCAGUAUGAUAAGGAAGCUUUAUUAAGAUUAGAUCUUGCUCUCAAGUCAAACAAGGCACAACCUGAGUUUUUCUGCAAACAGCUGACAGCUAGUGAUACAAGCGCACAUGGAGGUUUCUCUGUGCCUCGCCGAGUAGCAGAGAAAAUAUUCCCUCCUCUUCUAAGCGUAAUUACUAUUUCAGGUAGUUGAAUAAAAUUUUCAGGCUUUGAUCUUUUACAUGUUUUCAUGUAGGAUUAUUCUAUUCAACCUCCUGUACAAGAACUUGUGGCUAGGGAUUUGCAUGAUAAUGUUUUGACUUUUUGUCAUAUAUAUCGAGGGCAACCAAAGCACCACUUGCUUACAACUGGAUGGAGUCUAUUUGUCAGUGGAAAGAGGCUCUUUGCUGGAGACUCUGUUUUAUUUAUACAAGAUGAAAAAUAGCAGCUUCUUUUUGGCAUCAGGAGAGCUAACAGGCAACCAGCCAACAUAUCAUCCUCGGUAUUGUCAAGUGAUAGUAUGCAUAUUGGGAUUCUUGCGGCAGCUGCUCAUGCUGCUGCAAAUAAUAGUCCCUUUACUAUCUUUUACAAUCCUAGCUAGGUGAGUAUCUUUACUUUUCUUUAUGCUAAUUUAUCAGUUCGUGUAUGUUUGUUCAAUUACAGAGGCAUGGAUCAACUAAUUGUUUAAUGAACUCCUGUUCUCAAUUAUAAAGUCUUGAACUCAAAAUCUUUCUUUCGUUUGUUGGGCUAGUCCUUCUGAGUUUGUUAUUCCUUUAGCCAAGUACUACAAGGUAGUGUUUCUAUUCUCCUUUUCAGAGUUUGUGAGAUGGAAAAAUUCACAAUGGCGUAUUUGCAGGUAUAAUUUCUAU